rnacentral:rRNA from 1 species
GACGAACGCUGGCGGCGUGCCUAAUACAUGCAAGUCGAACGAACCGCGACUGAGUGCUUGCACUUGGUCAAGGUGAGUGGCGAACGGGUGAGUAACACGUGGGUAACCUACCUCAUAGUGGGGGAUAACAGUCGGAAACGACUGCUAAUACCGCAUAGGACAUAGGAUCACAUGAUCCAGUGAGGAAAGGUGGCGCAAGCUAUCGCUAAGAGAUGGACCCGCGGUGCAUUAGCUAGUUGGUAGGGUAAAGGCCUACCAAGGCGAUGAUGCAUAGCCGACCUGAGAGGGUGAUCGGCCACAUUGGGACUGAGACACGGCCCAAACUCCUACGGGAGGCAGCAGUAGGGAAUCUUCCGCAAUGGACGCAAGUCUGACGGAGCAACGCCGCGUGAGUGAAGAAGGUCUUCGGAUCGUAAAGCUCUGUUGUUAGAGAAGAACAGCGCAUAGAGUAACUGCUAUGCGUGUGACGGUAUCUAACCAGAAAGCCACGGCUAACUACGU